rnacentral:tRNA from 1 species
GCCUUCGUGGUGUAGUGGUCAGCACACUCUGCGCGUAUUCUAGAGGUCCGUGGUUUAAGUCCCGCCGAGGGCA